rnacentral:lncRNA from 1 species
AGCGCCUCUUAGCCUCCUUGUCUAAGCCCGCUUGCGGCGCGUAAGCGCUGAUGAAGUUGAGGACGCAACCCCCAAUAACCAACUUAAUAGACAUUAAUCUAUCAUUCACUCGCCUAACCUCGACCACGGACUCCCUUAGAUCCCUAUCUACCANNNNNNNNNNNNNNNNUAAUUGACAUUAACCUAUCAUUCACUCGCCUAACCUCGACCACAGACUCCCUUAGGUCCCUAUCUACCAAGAUGCCCACUCCAUUCUUACCUCUCACGCUCCCAGAAUACCACAUCUUAAACCCGUCUACAUUCCUCGCCUUCGUCCCUUUCCACCUAGUCUCCUGGACACA